GGAUGGGCCAGCCGAGGGCAGGCGACGGCCGCGGUCUCGAAAACCGUUGGGGAGCAAUCCCGUGUCGGUUCGAUCCCGACCCCAUCCG
rnacentral:tRNA from 1 species